rnacentral:lncRNA from 1 species
CACCACCAUCUGAGAAGCCACACUACCCUCCACACACCCCAGUUUACAAGUCUCCUCCACCACACCAUAUUCACCAUCCCGUUUACAAGUCUCCACCACCUCCAACUCCUAUUUACAAGUCGCCACCACCACCUAAGACACCACACUACCCUCCACACACCCCAGUUUAUAAGUCUCCUCCUCCACACCAUCAUCAUCCCGUUUACAAGUCUCCACCACCUCCAACUCCUGUUUACAAGUCGCCAUCACCACCCAAGGACCCACACUACCCUCCACACACCCCAGUUUACAAGUCACCACCACCACCAACUCCGGUUUACAAGUCUCCACCACCACCCAAAGAGCCACACUACCCACCACAUACCCCAGUAUACAAGUCUCCACCACCACCAACUCCAGUGUACAAGUCGCCACCACCACCCAAGAGGCCAUACCAUCCUCCACCAACACCAUAUCAUCCCACACCAGUUUAUAAGUCUCCACCACCACCAACUCCAGUUUACAAGUCACCACCGAAGCCAUACCAUCCUGCACCCGUAUACAAGUCUCCACCACCACCAACUCCCAUUUACAAGUCCCCACCACCACCAGUGAAGCCAUACUAUCCUGCACCAGUAUACAAGUCUCCACCACCCCCAACUCCCGUUUACAAGUCCCCACCACCACCAGUGAAGCCAUACCAUCCCUCACCAACACCAUACCACCCUACACCAGUAUACAAGUCUCCACCACCCCCAACUCCCGUUUACAAGUCCCCACCACCACCAGUGAAGCCAUACCAUCCCUCACCAACACCAUACCACCCUACACCAGUAUACAAGUCUCCACCACCCCCAACUCCCGUUUACAAGUCCCCACCACCACCAGUGAAGCCAUACCAUCCCUCACCAACACCAUACCACCCUACACCAGUAUACAAGUCUCCACCACCCCCAACUCCCGUUUACAAGUCCCCACCACCACCAGUGAAGCCAUACCAUCCCUCACCAACACCAUACCACCCUACACCAGUAUACAAGUCUCCACCACCCCCAACUCCCGUUUACAAGUCCCCACCACCACCAGUAAAACCAUACCAUCCUUCACCAACACCAUACCAUCCUAGACCAGUAUACAAGUCUCCACCACCACCAACUCCAGUCUACAAGUCUCCACCACCAACCCACUAUGUUUACUCCUCUCCCCCUCCUCCCUACCAUUACUAAGAAGUGACUUCAUUAUAUCUGAGGUAAUUAAGAUGAACUUAAACCUUUAGAAACAUUUAACUAAAAUGCAAUGCAAUAAUAAGUUGAACAAUUAUUUCUUCAUGCAAAACAUUAAUAAAAAGACUUAUGUUUGUUUACUUCUUAUUUGGUUAGCUUCUUUUAUUUAUAUGUUCUCAUUCACAAUAUUAUAUUCUUAUGCAGGAAAAGCAGAAUGUUGAGCUGAAAGAAAGGCAUUUUCCAUUUUCAAGAGACAAUGAAAAAAGAAGAAAAUUAUAGUUAUAGUAAUAAAUAAUAAGGCUUACAGAAGACGAAGUUCUUUUGUAGCUUCAUGUAUCUAAGUUAGUGUCUUAGUGAUAUUGUUUUGUACUCUAUUUUUAUAUUUUACUUUUAUGUCUUUGUGUAUGUUUGCUCAGUUUCAAUCUCCUUGCAAAAUGCAGAGAUUAAUUAUGAGAUGAAUAAAAUAAGUUAUUACUACUCCUAUAUAUGUUUUAAUUUCUCAUCACAAUAUUACGUUUGUUUUCAUUUUAUGUGGUGAUAUUUUAAGUACUAAAAUAAAGUUAUUUAAUUUUGAUGUGAACACAAAAUUUACAAUUUUUUCAAAUAGAAUUAUUUACAUCUAUAUAUAUAUGAAACAUCUACAAGUGGCUCCCAUGUUAGCAUACUAUGGGAAAGCAAUGGAUCGAGAAAAUAUUGUUAGAAACACAAAAUACUACUUCCUUUGAAUAUAUAUAAUGUAGUUUGAUUUAACACGAUUUUUUUAAAAAAAACUUUGAAAACUUAUGAUAAUAGCAUACUCAAAUAACCAACGAAUCUCAUGUACUUACGGUUAUAAUUCAAUCAAAUUCAAGUAUAAUAGUCCAUUUACGGUAAUGAAAUAAAAAAUUAUUUGAUAAUCACAUAAUUCGUUAUCAAAUUUUUGUAAGAUAAUAUGAUUUAAGAAACUUAAACAAAAUAUUACUAAUAUAAUCUAAAAUAAUUUAAAAUAAUAUUUUAAAAUUUCCACACAUCGCGUGGAUACGUAUAAGAUGACAUCCACCCAUUUUGACAUCACCCACAUGCUACAUGUCUCUAAGACUGAUAAAUAAUGAGGUCUACUCUCAGUCAAAAUUAAAUGAUUGUAGACCACAUCCAGAGUUCCCCAUAGUCAACAAUUCGAUCCUCCGCGUUUGCGGAUCUUCGUUUUUUGGAUUCGAUUUUAUUAAACUUCGAUUUGAUUCUUUAGAUUUUAGUUUUGAAAUUUAUGUGUACGGAAUGUGAACUGAACUAAUUCGUAUAAUUAAACUUCUUAUAAUUUUUCUUUUUAAAAAAAAUAGUUUAAAAUAAAAAUUAUAUUUCAACAAAAUUUAAUGAAAAAUUAUUUAAAUUUAUUGGGUGACUUUCUAAGUCAAAUAUCAAUAGUUGAGUGAUUUUGUAGGUAAAAUAUUCAAAUUGAGUGAUUUUGAGAUUAUAAAAGAAAAUUGAGCGAUUUUAUGUGAGAAGAAAUCGAGGCUUAGUUGAGUGAUUUUGUAGGUAAAAUAUUCAAAUUGAGUGAUUUUGAGAUUAUAAAAGAAAAUUGAGCGAUUUUAUGUGAGAAGAAAUCGAGGCUUAGUUGAGUGAUUUUUUGUGAGAAAAAUUCUUAGUUAAGUGACUUUGGUAUUAUAAAAAAAAGUUGAAUGACUUCCUAUAAAAAUAACUACUAAUUGAGUGACCAUCUGAAAAAUUAACUCCUAUAGAAUUAGAAUUACAAAAUUAAAAGUAAGUUUAUUUCAAAGAUAAGGACAUUAUUAGUAAAAUUCAGAUUGAUAUUGAGUAACCUGAAAAAGAUUAUCUUUAGACUGAAUGUGACGAGAAUACUUGUCUUUAAUAGAAUAUGAACAAAUGUUUGAAAGAGGCAACAAGGUUAAAAAAAACACUUAUUUUACCUCAAAGCCAGCUAAAAAUGUAUGGUAAAAAUAGAUUAGAAACUUACUAAUUUUAUUUUGUAUAAAUAGCUGGUGACCAUUUUUUAAUGAAAAAAUAGUGAUUUUUUAAUAACGAAUAUACAAUAACUCGUUUCUUAGGCGUAAAAUGUUAAGACAUGUUAGCCUCACUCAGUUGAAUAAAUUGCUCACCAAGAACUUAAUAAUUGAAUUUCCUAAAACAAAGUUUAAAAAAUAAAAAUGAUUAAACAAAUAAUCAGUAAUAAUAAUAAAAAAAAAUUUAGAUUUUUUAUUAAAAUAAAAUUAGAUUUAUUAAAAUAAAAAAAAGCAACCUACCUACACAAUUUUUUUUUUUUUUUUUUUUUUAAAAAAAGAGUAAAGGAAAGAGAAUAGAAGAUGUUUGACUGGUUAAGACAAGUAUUUGUCUAAUAUAAGUAUGUCGGUAAUCACAAUGUAGACUAGAUCUGUACUUGUUUAUACAUCCAUAUCCCUUAAUCUUAGGACGAUUAAAAAAUUAUUAAUUUAGUUUAACUAAUUAAUGGGAUCUUAUAAAUACAUUAGUAAUUUUACUUUUGUCGGUGAUUAAGUUAAUGCUAAUACUUAAUUGUUUUUUCAAUUAAAAUGUCAAAGUCGUUAGAUGGAAUCGUCCAUGAAGAUGGUCCCAGAGUUCAAUUAUUGAAUAUUAUCUUCUUCUUUUUUUUAACUUUAAGAAUUAAAGUGGAAUUCAAUUACUUUAUAAAUGUAUGACAACUUGGCAAUAAAUCAUUGAAGUCCAGGAAGAACAAAAACCAACCACAAUUUAGAUUAAUUUAAUUUUGUUAAAACUACAUAAUGAGACAUAUAUAUUUCAGUAUGUCAUUACUAUAUAUAUUAUUAUUAUCUAUAUUUUAAAAAUAUUACGUAUUUUACCAUUAAUUAAAAGUUUUGCUACGUAUUUUACACUUAGAUACAUGUAUUUUUGCUAUCAGAUACACAAAAAUAAGGAGAGAGACAAGCGAGAUUCGUACGCAGAGGCGGAUCUAGUAAUACCUAAGGGGUGUCACGACUCACGGGACACGACUUCAUCGAAAAAAAUUGCUAAAUAUGUAUAUAUAAUUAAAAAUACAGCAGAAAGAUUGAGAUAUAUAUAAAUUUUUGUGAUAAAUUUUGAUUCAAAAGUAUGUGUAGCGUAGAUGGUUAAUUAGUGCAACAGCCCUCUAUAGACAAGCUUACAUUAUUUUAAUUUUUUUCUUUAUUUCUUCCAUUGUUAUUCCUUUUCUUCUUUUCCCUUUUAUUUCUUCUUCUUUUGAUAUAUAUAUAUAUAUAUUAGUUAAUGAGAUUAUUUCAAAACAAAAAAUUAUCCAGAAAAAGUUGAAAUAUUUUUUUUUUUGGAAAAGAUAUAGUGUUAUAUGUUAAUUGUGUUAUAUAUAUAUAAUACAUUAAAAAGUGAUUCACAUAUAAUCUGAGAUAUCAGAUACAUGUAAGUGUGAAGAGCGAGAUGGAAUAAAGGCAAGGAAGGCAAGCGAGAUUUGCUAUGUAUCCUAGAUACAUGCGAAUUCACUUAGAUACAAUGUAUCUAGAACCAGUGGCGGAGCUAGAAUUUUUAAUAAGGGGGUUAAAAAUCUGAAGAACUAAACACACGGACUAACCGAAGAGGGUUCAACAUCUACUAUAUACACAUAAAAAAUAAUUUUAAACAUGUAUAAAUAGUAAUAUCUUCCGCCGAAGGGGAUUUGGAUGAACCCCCUAAAAGAAGGCUGGCUCCGCCCCUGUCUAGAACUAAUUACACCUAAAUUUGACCUACGUAUUCGAGAUACAUGUAUUUCAAGGCACCAAAAUCUGAUAAGAUAUAUAUAAUAUUACAAACUAGAGGAUAUCUAAGUAGUUAACUUCCAAAUUAGUGGGAUUUAUGUAAAUUUUCUAUUAAUUUACGUGCUCAGGAUUAGCAAAAAGAGGAGGAAAACGAGUUUAGUAAAUUAGUAAUUUGUGGGAAUGAAAGAAAAUAGAAAUUCGAGUUAUGAGGACAAUAUUAUAUUAACGUAAAACUGAAUUUAGAUUAUUGAUUUCCUUUUCCAUUUUAUAUAUAUGUAUAUACAUCUAUGUAUUUUUUGUUUUAUUUUCCUUUUGAUAAUAAUACACCAUUUUGCUAAAAUAUUUACGACUCGAUUAACUUUCUUGUAGAAAUGUCAAACCUUCCAAGUAAUAGUGCUUGAUAUAUUGUGAAUAUGAGUAAUGAUGUUUUUCAUUUUCCAAAGGAUACCACUAAAAUAGUUCUUUCUAACAUUCAUGCAUAAUUUUUUAUGCAAGAAAAACAUUUUCAGUAAUAAAUCUACGAAACUUGUUAUUUGAUCCUCAUAGAUAAUAUUACGCAAAAUAUUAUAAAAUUUAGUAUUAGUGCUUAUGAAAACAAUUUUGUUAGAACAAUAUAUCUAUUAUACGUACAAAAAGUUCAGAUCGUUCUUUAUUCAUUGAGCAUAAUUUGAAUAAAUUUUCUUUUAUCAGAUUAUUACCAAUAUAAUCAUAGAAAGUCAAAUAAGAAAACUACUUUUCCUUGUUACUAUUUCUUUGAUUAACUGGGAUUAAUAGAGAUGAGUAGCUAUCAUUAUUAAUCGGAUGCAUUUGACUCGGCACACAUAAAUUACUUUCUAUAAUUUAAUAUUAAUUUUAUACACUCUUUCAAAUAAUUUUUUAAAUAUAAAAUAUAUUAUGGUAGAUUUUAGGGGUGUCAAAAUCAAGUGAAUUUGUCAAACUCCCCUAUUCCGUUCUUGAGCAGAUUUCAUUUAUUAACUUAACUUAAUUCAACCCAAUUUAUUUUAAUUCAUAUUAAAAAUUGAGUUGAUGUGUAAUUCACAUUAGCUUAUAAUUUUAUUUUUAAAAAAAAUUCUUUUAAUUUGAUAUGUUAUACAUAGUCACAAUAAAAAAAAAAACUUAUUCGGUACUAAAAAUUUACAAAAGAGCAAACAAAACAAUUAAACUUUAGUAAAAAUUGGAGGGGUUAAAUUAUAAGCUGAAUUUUAACUUAAUUCAGUCCAAUCCAUUUCAAUCCAAAUAGCUAAUAACCCAUUCAUUUAUUAACUCAGUAUAAUUCAAUCUGUUCAGAUUCAGUUCAACUCUCCUAUUUGAAAUUUCUGGUAGAUUUCAAUCAAUCAAAAUUUGGACACCAAAACGAAUUCAUUCAUUUCAUCCACCAAAUUAUUAAUAAGUGGCACCAUCUUAGCUACCCAGUUCAUUGUAUUAAUCUUUAGCAUUAAAUUUAGGCAAAAUUUGUUCAGUAUUGGGACCUAAAUAUUUAACUUUCCAAUUCCUUUAGGGGUCAAUUUGAUUGAUUAUAAUGAGUGAAUUAUAUUAUAAAAACUGAAAUAAUAAUUAAUGUUUUUGUAGAUAAUAUUAAAUUCUUUUAUCAUGACUACAUUUGGUGUUCAUUGAAUUGGAAAUAAGAUAUAUACGGUAUAAUAUAGAAUUUUUUACUUGAUUAGUUGAUUUUGUAUUAAUGAAAUUUGGACAAAUUUUAAUUUUUAAUUUUACCUUUAAUUUCUUAAAGAACUUAUAGUUUGGUUGUAUUAUCAUGGAAUUAGCUAAUUAAUCAAGGAUUGCUAUCCCAUAUACAACUUUGGUACAAUUAUACAGAAUUAUGAUAUAAUUAAUUUUGAAAUUACUUAUAUUCAGAAACUAAAGUUUCAAUCAAACGAUAAAUGAUUGAAUAUUUUAUCUCAAAAUUAGUAUUCUUAUUAUUAAUAGCAUACCAAUCAACGAACCUAAAUUUUGAUUUAGUCACUCCGGUCCUUUUCUUUUAAUCUUUUCACAAACCAACUACAUUUGAUUGCAUUAACUAUAAAGGCCAUUUGCAUUAUUUUACAUAUCAAUUAAUAUUAUUAAACUAAAUUUAUCUUUAAUGACUGAUUUAAAUGCAUACAUAUUUUCUCACCAACAUGACAUAUAUAAUUUAGGCUCAUUAAAAUUAAAUGUUGCUUCAUGUGGUGUGUUCAAUUGAUUAGACUAUCACACCUUUGACAAGUUCAAAUAUAUUUUUCGCAAAUGAGCAAUGCUAAAAUGUUUGAGAAUAAUGUUGUUGAUGAAUAUUACACCCUCCUCGUAAUGUUUUGUUAGCUUACAUAUGAAUGUGAAAUAUUAUUUUUACUUAUUUAUCGAACACUAAAAAAUAAGUAAGAAACUUAUUUAUGUGAGAUGAUAUUUUCCUCCGUACCUAAAAAGUGCAUUAAUUUAUGAAGCUAAAAUCGUGCAAAGUUGAGGCAUCCACGCAUUUUUUUGGUAAGAUUAUGUAAGAAGAAGAAGACUUUCAAUCUCUUUGAAUUAUUGCAUCACAAACAAUAUAGCUGCCUUAAUAAUUUAUUCAUUUGCUUAGCUUGAUGCCUCUAUCCAUCAAAUAAAAUAAAAUAUACAAACUAAAGUCAAAUUGAGCAAACAACAUGACAAAAUCAAAUAAAAAUGCAUAACUCUAGCAUUUUACCUACAUUUAUAAAAUCUUUGUAAGGGUAAUUGUGUAAAUGAAAACUAUAUAAAGGGGUUUGAGUGAAGCUUAAGAGGACAACAACUUUCUCCUUUGUUUCAAAUAUGGGGAAAAUGGCCUCUCUAGUUGCCACUCUUUUAGUGGUUUUAGUGUCACUUAGCUUAGCAUCUGAAAGUUUAGCAAAUUAUCAAUACUCAUCUCCCCCACCACCAAAGGAGCCAUACCACCCUUCACCAACACCAUAUCAUCCCGCACCGGUUUACAAAUCUCCACCGCCGCCAACUCCGGUUUACAAAUCUCCACCACCACCCAAAGAGCCAUACUACCCUCCACACACUCCGUUGUACAAGUCGCCACCACCACCCAAGGAGCCAUACUACCCUCCACACACCCCAGUCUACAAGUCACCACCUCCACCAACUCCUGUUUACAAGUCGCCACCACCACCCAAGGAGCCAUACUACCCUCCACACACCCCAACCUACAAGUCGCCACCUCCACCAACUCCCGUUUACAAGUCACCACCACCUCCAAAAGAGCCAUACUACCCUCCACACACACCAACCUACAAGUCGCCACCACCACCAAAUGAGCCAUACUACCCUUCCCACACCCCAACCUACAAGUCGCCACCUCCACCAACUCCCAUUUACAAGUCACCACCACCUCCCAAGGAGCCAUACUACCCUCCACACACACCAACCUACAAGUCGCCACCACCACCAAAUGAGCCAUACUACCCUUCCCACACCCCAACCUACAAGUCGCCACCUCCACCAACUCCCAUUUACAAGUCACCACCACCUCCCAAGGAGCCAUACUACCCUCCACACACACCAACCUACAAGUCGCCACCACCACCAAAUGAGCCAUACUACCCUUCCCACACCCCAACCUACAAGUCGCCACCUCCACCAACUCCCAUUUACAAGUCACCACCACCUCCCAAGGAGCCAUACUACCCUCCACACACACCAACCUACAAGUCGCCACCACCACCCAAGGAGCCAUACUACCCUCCACACACCCCAACAUACAAGUCGCCACCUCCACCAACUCUCGUUUACAAGUCGCCACCACCAUCCAAGGAGCCAUACUACCCUCCACACACCCCAACAUACAAGUCGCCACCUCCACCAACUCUCGUUUACAAGUCGCCACCACCAUCCAAGGAGCCAUACUACCCUCCACACACCCCAACAUACAAGUCGCCACCUCCACCAACUCUCGUUUACAAGUCGCCACCACCAUCCAAGGAGCCAUACUACCCUCCACACACCCCAACAUACAAGUCGCCACCUCCACCAACUCUCGUUUACAAGUCGCCACCACCAUCCAAGGAGCCAUACUACCCUCCACACACCCCAACAUACAAGUCGCCACCUCCACCAACUCUCGUUUACAAGUCGCCACCACCAUCCAAGGAGCCAUACUACCCUCCACACACCCCAACAUACAAGUCGCCACCUCCACCAACUCUCGUUUACAAGUCGCCACCACCAUCCAAGGAGCCAUACUACCCUCCACACACCCCAACAUACAAGUCGCCACCUCCACCAACUCUCGUUUACAAGUCGCCACCACCAUCAAAGGAUCCAUACUACCCUCCACACACCCCAACCUACAAGUCGCCACCUCCACCAACUCUCGUUUACAAGUCGCCACCACCAUCCAAGGAGCCAUACUACCCUCCACACACUCCAGUCUACAAGUCGCCACCACCACCAACUCCUGUCUACAACUCUCCUCCACCACCUUACUAUCUUUACACUCCCCCUCCUCCCUACCAUUACUAAGAAGCCACUUCAUUAUAUCGAGGUAAUUAAUACAAAUUAAAACUUUUUAAAAUGAUAUGUCUAAAAUGCAAAGCAAUAAGUUGCACAAUUUCUUCAUGCAAAUCAUUAUAAUAUAUAUAUACCUAUGCUGUCUACUUCUUAUUUGGUUAGCUUCUACUAUAUGUUCUCAUCACAAUAUUAUAUUCUUAUGCAGGAAAAGUAGAAUGGUGAGCUGAAAGAAAGGUAUUUUCCAUUUUCAAGAGACAAUGAAAAAAAGAAGAAAGUUAUAUUAUAGUAAAUAAUAAGCCCCACAUAAGGCGAAGUUCUUUUGUAGCUUCAUGUUAUCUAAGCUAGUGAUAUUGUUUGUAUUUUUACUUUUAUGUCUUUGUGUAUGUUUGCUCAGUUUCAAUCUCCUUGCAAAAUGCAGAGAUUAAUUAUGAGAUGAAUAAAAUAAGUUAUUACUACUAUAGUACAGUUUUAUGUUACUCUCUUCGAUCUUAAUUAGUCUUUUUUUUUUUCUUAUUUCGUCAUCUUAUCAAUUCAUUUAGGCGAGGCUCAUCGAUUACACUAAAUCAAUCUAGAUAAAAUUGAUGACAAAUUUAACGUUAAGAUACCAUAGAACCUCACAAACAAUUUACAGAGGAAUCUUAAUACCAAUUGGUUGAUAACCUGAACGAUCACCUUGUUAGUGAGGAUUUGAAUCCCCAAUCCCGUCCUUCAUUUCCCACAAAUUAUUUUUUAAGAAAGAAGAAGUAACAAUCAACAUAAAUAUUAUAUCUAAAGUCAUAAUAUGAUACAAUACAAAUGGACAACAAUACAAUAAAAAAAGGUUACUCACACGAUGUCAACACGUAUGCUAGAGUGACCAAUAAAAUUAGACAAAUUUCAAAAUUGACAAUGGCAAAGUAUACGUACGUAGCAUAUAGCAAUCAAUCAGUAAAUAAAUUAUUCCUAAAGUAGUCAUGAUCAUCUUCAUAUACUAUAUAUGGUAAAAUACUAAGAUUAAGUCAAUAUAAUUCAGUCUAGUGUUUGGUAAUUUAUAACAAAUAGUGACAAUAUUAAUUAAUGGAAAUUGGAGCAGAAUGGUCAACGCAUACUUUUUAAUUUGGUUACCACUUUUUAAUAUCUUUAAAAGAAAAUUUAUAUAUUUAAAAUAUUACAAAAGUUAUUAUUAUUUGUAUAAAAUAAAAUAUUUUAAAAUAUAUUAGUAUCUUAGUAGAGAAAAGAUUGUUUGAUUUCCUAGAGUAAUAGAGCCCGCGUGAGUUAGCUGAUUAAUUUGAUAGUUUGAUAAAUUAAUUAAAAAAUUGGUCAAAUAAAAAUGUUGAUAAGCUAAAAAAAAAGUCAUAAGUUAGGAAUGACUAAUCUAUUGUAUAUAACUAAAUUGACUUAUAUAUGCACUUAGCUUAUAUAAAUACUUUGAUAUUUACUAAUACAUAAAUAAACUUUAUUUUAUUUAUAUAAAUCAGUUUGAUCAACUAAUAAUAAAUUGAUUACGCAUAAAAUAAGAGGAAGUGUUCUAAUUAAAAAAGACAAGGAAAAAGGUGCAGUACUGUGUACGAUCGACCAAACAUACAUGAGUUAUUAAUUAUAAUUAAGCUAAUUAGACAAUGCUAUCUUAUUAUAGAGCUGUCGAUAUUAAUUAGUUUAGAUAGUUAAAUUGUAUAUAAUUCAUUUAAUUCAAUCAAAGCUUUGACUUGUUAAAUGUUAGGUAUAUGAUAUGAUUUAUAUAUAUAUAUAUAUAUAUAGCGACUAGUUAAUCAAGACCUUAUUUAAGAUAUUGAUCAAGCUAUUAGUUAUUUAACUAAUACAAAUACAUUAAAUAAUAAAUGGUUAUUGAGAGAAAACUUCCAUGCAAUUAUUAUAACUAGAAACUUCUUAAGAAAUGGUCUCGAAUUAGAUAAUUUGGAUGGUGACGCUUUUGUUAAAAAAAAUAUUGAAUCAAGUCAAAAUUUUAUUGCUAUUAAUUGUGAAUUACAAUUUGUAGAAGGGGAGCAUAACCUAGAUAUUAAUUAUGUACAAGAUGAGUGUGUAAGAUUAGUUUUUUUUUGUUCCAAUUCGGUGUCCGGUAUUCAUAUUGGAGUCCCGACUAAAUUUAGAUUUGCGCCGGAAAGUCCACAUUGGGGGAUAAAGUGCUCCCUAACAAAGGCAACGACUCUGUACCCAGAGAGACUCAAACUCGAGACCUCUAGUCAAGGAAAAAGUAAGAUUUUUCUUGAUUAAUCUCUUGUCCUGAAGCUUGUUGAUACAAAUUCAAUUGUUUCAUAAGAAGCUUAAUCGAGCACUUAUCGCCAGAAGUAAACAAAACAAUAUCAUCAGCAUAACUAAGGUGAUUAAUCAGUGGUCCCUUGUUAUGCAUAGAGAAAUUAGUGAACCUCUGAUUAUGAUUCAAAUAAUUCAAGGCUAUAGAAAGAGUCUCAACGGCAAUAAUAAAAAGAGCAGGAGAUAAAGGAUUACUUUGUUUUAGACCGCUGGUUAAUUUAAAGAAACCAAAUCUUGUCCCAUUAACGAUCACAGAGUACCAAUUGUUCGCAAGCAUUCGAUAAACUAUUUCAAUAAAAACCUCAUGAGCAAAGCCCAUUUUCCUAACAACAGAAAUUAGAAAGUUCAAAGAUAGUUAAUAGCUAAAUUUGACACCAUUUCACUACGAAUAUUAUUAUAUCGCUAAUUCGAUUACAUAAAUUUUGUGAUGAAACCUUUUUAAUCAAAACUUACGCGAAUUUAAAGAUAAAUAAUGAUUUGUCAUAAAUUUUCAACAAAAGUAGCGAGAAAAAUGAUCAGAAUCAAUAUCCUCAAUUUCGUGGCUAAAAUUACCUAAUAAUUGACAAUAAUUAAUUUUUAUGGUGCAUGGGAAAGCUUUGUAGACAAAACAUUUUUAAUGAAAUUUAUUUUUGUCACUAAUAAAAGUAUGUAGCCGAUGCAUUUGAGGUUUGUUACAAGUUAUCAACAAAAUUAGGGAUGACACAGAUUAUAUUAUCACCAAUAUCUUCAAAUUAGUGACUAAAAUUAUUUGAUAAUUGACGUCAAUUCAUUAUUUGGAAGUCCAACCAUUGUUUGUUUCAAAGCUAGUGGAAGCAGAUAAAAGUGGAAACUCUUUUUGUUCAUCUAAUUAUCAGUUCAAUGCCUAUUACGAAAUAUUGUAAUAGUUACUACUUCUAGUCUCCACCCCCAACUUCAGGCCUUGCAACCACUACUCUGUAAUGAAGCAUAUUAGCUAUUAAUAUAAUAUCCUUGUUUAUAAAAAAAAAUAAUUAUGGAAAAGCUUUAUAGACAACAUAUUUGUUACAAAAUUUAUUUUUCAUCACUAAAAAUAUGUGACUCAUGCAUGAUGCAUGCAUUUGAGUACGAAAUUAUUUUUUGUCACAGAAAGUGCAUAAUUAAUGAUGAAUUUUCGACCAUAACUAAAAAUUUCGUGACCAAAGAUUUAAUUUAAACUUAAAACCAAAUUUAAAGAUGAUUAAAUUUGUGAUGUUGGUGCAAAAUGCACGUAUCAAACCCACCUUUAGGCCUAAGAAAAUGGUGAGCACUUCUCAACCAUCAUUCUCCAACUGAUUUCAUCUCUUCCUCAAUUAAUUAUGCAAAUAAUCAAAAUAUUUUUUUUCCACUCGAUGUUCGUAUUCCCUAUUUAAAUUCUAAUUAAAUCUGGAUUGCAAAUUGAAGGCCAGAGACCAUUUAAGGGUGACGCUUCCUACACGACUCAUGUAGUAACAAAAAAAUAUAAGAAACCACCGCAAUAAUAAUUCUUGGCUAGGUCAAUGUAACUAAGAUUUGUACUUGUUUAUACAUCCAUAUCUUUUAGGAGGAGUAACAAUAUUAAUUUAGCUUAACUAAUGGAAUCUUUUAAGGAGAUUAGUAAUUUAACCUUUGUCGGUGUUUAAGUUAUGAUGCUAAUCAUUAGCUGUUUUUUCAUUAAAAUGUCAAAUUUAAUGGAUGAACCAAAUAAAUUAUUAAAUAGUAGUUUUACUUGUUUACUUAAAAAUAUUUAAGUGAAAAAAAGGCACUUCUUUGGUUUAUUGCUCUCUCCUCUUAUGUAAUACUGUUCAACUUGAUACAAAGCUUAUGAAAAAAAAGAAAAUUUUAUUUAUUUAAUUUAGAUAAUAAACAAUACUAUUAUUAACAAAAUUCUUCUAUAAUUAUUGAUUUAAUUGCUGAAAUAUUUUAUCACCAACAUGACUUAAAAUUUAGACUCUUUAAAAGUGAAUUUUGUAUUUUUCAGGUCACUUAAUUUAGAUUCAUAUGGUGUGCUCAAUUGAUUAGACCGUCACACUUAUUACAAGUCAAAUAUAUAUAUUCACAAACAAGCCAUGCUAAAAUGUUUGAUAUUAAUAGUACUGAUGGUUACCUUUUCCCUUGAACUAACAAAUUAUUAUUCACUAAUUAACUUGUUGAGUGAAUUCUAAAGUAUUCAACAGCAAAUCCUAACAAAACUUGACAUCAAAUAUUAUUUAAUAAAUAAUCUAUUCUUAUAACAUAUAUUAGUGCGGGGACAGAGGUGAAUUCAGAACCUGAAUGUAGAUAACAUAUGUAGCAUCCUAGUCAUAGAGGAAAACUAUACUUAAUAAUUUACAAUUAGCAAAACUUCUACACAAGAUUAAUUAGAUUUGUAUAUAUAGUUGAUUUAUUCAAGGUUUUAGUUAGAAGAGGUCUAGGAUUCUAUUCUUCUUAUCCAUAUUUAUUAAACAAUAAAUUUGCUACAAAAGGAUGUCUCUGACAAAUCAUUUCUAUUAAAUAUGUGAUAAUGUUUUAAAUUUCUAUAUUCGUCAAUACCAUUUAAGCACUUGUGCGAAGGUUGGUUAAGUGAAAAGUUGAGGCAUCCACGAAUUUUUUUCAAAGAUUCUGUGAGAAGAAAACAAGACUUUGUAGCUCUUUGAAUCAUUCAGUCACAAACAGUAUAGUUCCCUUAAUAGUUUAUACCUUUGCUUAGCUUGAUGCCUCUAUCCAUCAAAUUAUUUUAAAUAUAUUAACUAAAGUCAAAAUUGAGCCAACACCAUGACAAGACCAAAUCAAAAUGCAUGACUCUACCAUAUUACCUACAUUUGUAUAAAUUUUGGUAAGGGUAAAUGUCUAAAUGAAAGCUAUAUAAAGGGGUUUGAGUGAAGCUUAAGAGCACAACAACUUCUCUUCUUCGUUUCAAAUAUGGGGGAAAUGGCCUCUCUUGUUGCUACUCUUUUAGUUGUUUUAGUGUCACUUAGCUUAGCUUCCGAAAGCUCAGCUAAUUAUCAAUACUCAUCUCCCCCACCACCAAAGGAGCCAUACCACCCUUCACCAACACCUUAUUAUCCCGCACCAGUUUACAAGUCUCCACCACCGCCAACUCCAAUUUACAAUUCUCCACCACCACCGAAGGAGACAUACUACCCUCCACACACUCCAGUGUACAAGUCGCCACCACCCCCGACACCAAUUUACAAGUCACCACCACCACCAAAGGAGCCAUACAACCCUCCACACACCCCAACCUACAAGUCGCCACCUCCACCAACUCCUGUUUACAAGUCUCCACCACCGCCAACUCCGGUUUAUAAUUCUCCACCACCACCGAAGGAGCCAUACUACCCUCCACAUACUCCAAUGUACAACUCACCACCACCACCCAAGGAGCCAUACUACCCUCCACACACCCCAACCGACAAGUCUCCACCUCCACCAACUCCCAUUUACAAGUCGCCACCACCACCAAAGGAGCCAUACUACCCUCCACACACUCCAAUUUACAAGUCACCACCUCCACCGACUCCAGUUUAUAAGUCUCCACCUCCACCAACUCCUGUUUACAAGUCGCCGCCACCACCUAAGGAGCCAUACUACCCUCCACACACUCCAAUUUACAAGUCACCACCUCCACCAACUCCAGUCUAUAAGUCACCACCACCACCCAAAGAGCCAUACUACCCUCCACACAGCCCAGUGUACAAGUUGCCACCUCCACCAACUCCUAUUUACAAGUCGCCACCACCGCCAAAUGAGCCAUACUAUCCUCCACACACUCCAGUCUACAAGUCGCCACCUCCACCAACUCCAGUCUAUAAGUCACCACCACCACCCAAAGAGCCAUACUACCCUCCACACACCCCAGUGUACAAGUCGCCACCUCCACCAACUCCCGUAUACAAUUCACCACCUCCACCAACUCCAGUCUAUAAGUCACCACCACCACCCAAAGAGCCAUACUACCCUCCACACACCCCAAUCUAUAAGUCACCACCUCCACCAACUCCCGUUUACAACUCACCACCUCCACCAACUCCAGUCUACAAGUCGCCACCACCACCCAAGGAGCCAUACUAUCCUCCACACACCCCGGCCUACAAGUCGCCACCUCCACCAACUCCCAUUUACAACUCUCCACCACCACCAACUCCAGUCUACAAGUCGCCACCACCACCCAAGGAGCCAUACUAUCCUCCACACACCCCAACCUACAAGUCACCACCACCACCCAAGGAACCAUAUUACCCUCCACAUACUCCAACCUACAAGUCGCCACCUCCACCAACUCCAGUCUACAAGUCUCCACCACCACCCCAUUAUCUUUACACCUCUCCCCCUCCUCCCUACCAUUACUAAG